GACAGAGGCCUCAAGCGUUAGGCGGAAUCACUGGGCUUAAAGCGUGUGUAGGCGGACGCCUAAGUGUCUUGUGAAAUCCCACGGCUCAACCGUGGAACGGCUGGGUAUACUGGCGGUCUUGGGCCAUUCAGGGGCGACUGGAACAAGCGGUGGAGCGGUGAAAUGCGUAGAUAUCGCUUGGAACGCCGAAGGUGAAAACAGGUCGCUGGGGAUGUGCCGACGCUGAGACACGAAAGCCAGGGGAGCAAACGGG
rnacentral:rRNA from 1 species